rnacentral:SRP_RNA from 1 species
CCGUGCUAGACGGGGAGGUAGCGGUGCCCUGUAACCCGCAAGCCGCUAGAGCGGGGUCGAAUUCCCACCUGCGGGCUGUGACCUGUGGGGACAGCCCGAGGCAAGUGGCGAGGAGGGCCGGGUCCUGCGCGGCGCGGGCUUAUGAACCCCGUCAGGUCCGGAAGGAAGCAGCGGUAAGUAAGUGACCGCGGGUGCCGCAGGAGUGCCUAGCCGGAGUUAACUGCCCCGGUAGCGCCCGGAGGCCCAGGACAAGGGUGGGUGCACGG